UCUUCUUGGGCAAGUUAUUGGGACUGCUGUAGCGUACUGUCUCCUCUUAUAUUCACACCCUCCCUCUCUGCUUCACUUCACUCACCCAACCCCCUACAUACUUCACACACCUCUCUUUCUCUCUCUCAAGUUUAAAAGUUGAGAUGCCUCAAAUAGAGCGCAGCGUAACCAGAUCUAACAGCAGAGCUAAAACGCCCCCACGGACUCUCCCACCCCCGAGGGGGCUAGUCAAGAUCAGGGUUUUCAAAAUUCUCUUAAAGUCCGCGAGGGCAUUUACGUCUUUGGCUACUACUACUACUACUACUGGAGACGCUACUUCUCACACCUCCCCUUCUACUACCCCAACCUCACCCACUCCAAGUGCCUAAAACUCCGACGACUGAUUCCUAGGCCCUAGCCACUAUCUUCCAAUCCUAACAUUUCCAAAAAAAAACAAUCAUGUGCUAGUCUCUGCAGGGCGUGUUAACUUAGGAUGUUUCUCUUGCUAUUUUUUUUUGUUGUUGUUGAAUUCGUUGAUACCAUACAGAAGAAGAAAAAAAAGGAUUGCCAUAUAUAGGCAGUUUCUUGAACAUGAUUAUUGAUUAUGUAUUGGAAUGUUUGCAGAGACGCUGAUGUGUUUAUGUAUGAUUAUUGUUAAUUUUGAUAUUUAUUAUUUAGUAUUUACUAUUUACCACUUCCUGGGGGAUAGUAAUAA
rnacentral:lncRNA from 1 species